CGGUUUCUGGUUGCCGGUGACAAAUGCAAUUUCACUGUUAAAGAGAGGAAACUACCUCCAGCGGCAAUUGCACAUUAAACUGUAUUCUGAAUUUUACAGUAAUUAUUUAUCAAGCCUUUAAGAGUAUAGCAUAUCAGGGAGCUGCGGUGGCUUCCAGAUAGUUAGGACCCCACUGUAGGUCCUGAAAAAUCUUUUUUAAAUUUAAUUACAUUUUAAAGAUGACUACUAAUUUACUUUAGUUGUUACUAAAGAGUGUGCUUAGGUCACCUUAAAAUGAAUUAAACUAGCAUGAUGAAUUCUGUUCUUGUUCAUUUGACCCAAUAUCGAGGUAUAUCAUUUAAAAUAAAUUGGGGACAGUCUAUGUUACUGUUAUUGUGCGGGUCAAAUUCUGAAAACUUUGGAACCUCUAGUUUGGACAAUGAAGCUGGUGAAGAUAACAAUUUAGACAAGUUAUUUUAACUAAGUGGCAAAACUGGCAUUCGUAUGUAUUAAUACUUUUUUUUAAAAUACCAUAAUCUGAAAUGAAUGUUUUUUUUGUGCAGGUGGUCCAUUAUUUAAAGUUUGGCAAAAACUGUGGAUGAAGUGCAGCUGUCAGUGGCCUGGAUCUGAGACUGCUGGAGGUCUACAAAGCAGCAACCAAAUCUGGAAAGAAGCAGCCACUCAAAGACAUUUUGGACUGCCUUGCAAAAGAUGACACGAAUGAAAGGAGAAGGGUUGCUGCUCUGCUUGGUUUGCCACGCUACAUAUCUGGGGAAGAUCCAUCAACUGUCAUCAGGAUGUGUGAUGCUCAUGCUGAUAUUCUGGAUGAUGCCAUGAAGGGGAUGCAGGUUGGUCUCCUGAUUGCCUGUGAAGGUAGUGAACUGGGGGCCAUCCCACACGAGGUCUUCGACGUGGCAGUUGUGGUGGAGGAGACCAUUGUGCUUCACAGCAUUAAAGAUGACACUUGGCUUUGCUAUGCUUAUGGGUGUCAUCUACUGUAUCAAUCUCAAGUAUCCAAAUGACAUGAAGUAUUCGUUUGAGUUUCUUCAGAGAGUGGUGAUGAAGAUCAGACCAGACCAGGCCUCAGCUCGAGUACAUGGUUUGAGAAACAAAAUCUUGAGGUACAAACUGUAACAUCUGGUAUGUUUACAGUUUUGUUCCUGUAAGAAUUUGUUCAGUUUGUUCUAUGCACUAAAUGUUAAUACUAAUGGUUAUGCACUAAAACAUUUAGCAUUGUGCUGAAUUUGUGGAAAAACCUCUCAGGGUUUUUGUGAGUUUGUUAAAACACUGAUCGUUUUGCACUUUUUGGACUGUUUUUGAGAGAGCUAGCUAGUUGUAUUGACUUUGCACUGCCACUGUUCAACGUGGUUAGAAUGUUUUUUAAAAUAAUGGUCUGAUUUAAAUGGAGGACUGAAGCUCACCAAUAAAAUACACUUAAAAUGCACCAAUUAAAUAAAUAAGAAAACUUCACCUCAUAUCUUAUAAUUUACCUUGAUAUUUUUCCAGCUUAGUUCCUACAAACAAUAUUUUUGUAGCACAUAAUUUAAUAUAUAUGUGUGUUUGCCCUAUACUUGUAGAUGCAUUCAUGUCUUAAGUCUGUGUGUGUGUGUGUCCCCUUCCCUCAAGUCUUUUUAAUUGUUAUUUUUACAUAUCUCUGUCUUGUAUUAGGCCUCAUUUUGCAAAUAAGUUGUGCUGUCUUUCUUGGGUCAGCUCCUUCACUAUUGGUCAACAGACAAGAAGGAGCAGAAUCCAUGUGCAGAUCUUUUGACCAAUAGUUGAACUUACCCAAGAAGGACAGCCCCCCUUAAGAUGGUCCCCACAGCCAGCUGACUUUAGAAAAAUGUCACUGCCCACCUUAUUUGCAUAAUAAAGCAGAAAUGCAUAAGGUAAAGUAAAAACAUGAGACAUGUAAAAGCAGCUUAUGGAAAAAAAAGUUUUGGGGGGGAAAAGGAUAAAAAUAAACAUUUAAGAAUCAUAAAUGAAUCUACAAAAGGGUAAAAACAAAGUUUUUACAAUAAAACAUUAGGUAAAGUUCUUAAUUGGUGCCUUUUAAAUGCAUUUAUUUGAGAUUUAUAUAAAAAAAAUAUAUUUCUGUUUGUCAAAAAAUUAAUUUCUGUUUUUGUCAGUUUUGGUCCUUCAAUAAAUGUCAACACUUCUGAUUGUCUUGAACAAAUGUUUUCUUUUACACUUGAUUUAAGGCUUGUCUCUUUUUUUAAUAGAGAAAGAUAAAAAUAAAUGUAUAAUAUUUGAAAU